UACAGAGGUCCCAAGCGUUGUUCGGAUUCACUGGGCGUAAAGGGUGCGUAGGUGGUGAGGUAAGUCGGAUGUGAAAUCUCCGAGCUCAACUCGGAAAUGGCAUUGGAAACUACCUUGCUCGAGGGUUGGAGGGGGGACUGGAAUGCUUGGUGUAGCAGUGAAAUGCGUAGAUAUCAAGCGGAACACCAGUGGCGAAGGCGAGUCCCUGGACAACUCCUGACACUGAGGCACGAAAGCGUAGGGAGCAAAAGGG
rnacentral:rRNA from 1 species